CUUAAAGGUAGUGGGGAAUGCUCCUGCUCUGGUAGUGAAAGGUAGCUUGUUCCACCAUUGGGGAACUAUUUAUUAUACAAAAUAAUAGGUUAAUUUCAGAAACACUGAAAACAUGAAGAAAAAAAGAAACAUCUGAAAAGUUCUUUGCUAAAAUGUAAAAGAGUAAUCUAACAGACCGUUUCCCUCAGAGCGAACAUUUUACAGUGAGAACAGGCGCUUUU
rnacentral:lncRNA from 1 species